rnacentral:sRNA from 12 species
AGCGAUGUAUAGGUCAGCAGCCUAUACGGAUAGCCGCCAUGGCUUGGCAUGAUGUAGCCGAAGUACAGGAUGACCGCCUCGUAAGCAUGCCAGUAAGCCCCAAGA